rnacentral:rRNA from 1 species
AGUGGCGAACGGGUGAGUAACGCGUGGGCAAUCUGCCCUUCAGAUGGGGACAACAUCCCGAAAGGGGUGCUAAUACCGAAUACGAUCGUUUUCCCGCAUGGGAUUGCGAUGAAAGAUGGCCUCUAUUUAUAAGCUAUCGCUGAAGGAUGAGCCUGCGUCUGAUUAGCUAGUUGGUGGGGUAACGGCCUACCAAGGCGAUGAUCAGUAGCCGGUCUGAGAGGAUGAACGGCCACAUUGGGACUGAGACACGGCCCAAACUCCUACGGGAGGCAGCAGUGGGGAAUAUUCCGCAAUGGACGAAAGUCUGACGGAGCAACGCCGCGUGAGUGAUGAAGGUUUUCGGACUGUAAAGCUCUGUUGUUUAGGACGAAAGUGCCUGUUGCGAACAGUUACAGGUAUUGACGGUACUAAACGAGGAAGCCACGGCUAACUACGUGCCAGCAGCCGCGGUAAUACGUAGGUGGCAAGCGUUGUCCGGAAUUAUUGGGCGUAAAGAGCAUGUAGGCGGAGAUUUAAGUCUGUUGUGAAAAUGCGGGGCUCAACCCCGUAUUGCGAUGGAAACUGAAUUUCUUGAGUGCAGGAGAGGAAAGGGGAAUUCCCAGUGUAGCGGUGAAAUGCGUAGAUAUUGGGAGGAACACCGGUGGCGAAGGCGGCUACCUGGACCGAUAUUGACGCUGAGACGCGAAAGCGUGGGUAGCAAACAGGAUUAGAUACCCUGGUAGUCCACGCCGUAAACGAUGAGUACUAGGUG